UACGUAGGGGGCAAGCGUUGUCCGGAUUUAUUGGGCGGAAAGAGCGUGUAGGCGGCUUUGCAAGUCCGUUGUGAAAACUCGAGGCUCAACCUCGAGACGCCGGUGGAAACUGCAAAGCUAGAGUCCGGAAGAGGAGAGUGGAAUUCCUGGUGUAGCGGUGAAAUGCGCAGAUAUCAGGAAGAACACCCGUGGCGAAGGCGGCUCUCUGGGACGGUACUGACGCUGAGACGCGAAAGCGUGGGGAGCGAACAGG
rnacentral:rRNA from 1 species